rnacentral:rRNA from 1 species
GUGCCAGCAGCCGCGGUAAUACGUAGGGUGCAAGCGUUGUCCGGAAUUAUUGGGCGUAAAGAGCUCGUAGGCGGUCUGUCGCGUCGGCUGUGAAAACUCGGGGCUCAACCCCGAGCCUGCAGUCGAUACGGGCAGACUAGAGUGCUGUAGGGGAGACUGGAAUUCCUGGUGUAGCGGUGAAAUGCGCAGAUAUCAGGAGGAACACCGGUGGCGAAGGCGGGUCUCUGGGCAGUAACUGACGCUGAGGAGCGAAAGCGUGGGGA